UGGCCGCCAGGCAUCUUGACGCCAACCCCAGCCACAACACGCACGCGAGGGGAUAAGCCCCAGGCCACACGUAUCCCCUCGCGCCGCUCCUCUCUCCAACCUAUGGCCGAGACCCCGCUUGCCUCCCUCGAUUCUCCUCUCCUCUCUCCUCUCACUUGCAAGCCCCCCAUCGCCGUCGGCCAGCUCUCCUUUCCUCGACGCUCCCUCCCGAUUCCCUCAGGAGUCACGCCUGAGCGCCCGAGGAGAGGAGCUCCUAGAGCACCCGCGUCCGCCGCCGGCAAGACCACGGCCAGGAGCUCCCCACGCGCCAUGGAGUUUGCAGAGGACCUCCCCUGCCUCACGCCGCCGCCUCGUUAGCCCCGCGCCCGGAGCGCGCCACUACGGCACCUCUCAUUCUCCCUCUUUUCCUUUCUUCUCCUCCCUGGAUCGUCCUCACCCCCCACGCAUCUCUCUCCCUCUAUGUGUUCCAGGAAACGGCCAUGGCCGAGCGCCAAGCCGAAUCGAGCUCUGACGCCCUCUGCUAUCCGUCGUGCCGGCCAGCCUCCUCUACGCCGGGGCCCUGCAGCCAUCCAACCGCCUCGGAUCUCGCCGGACCCGUCCGGAUCGAGACUCGCGUUGCCCGCCGAGCUUGCCACCUGCGAUGUCGCUGCCUUCUGUCGAGCAGGAGCUCGUCCGUGGACUCCUCUGCUCCCGUUGACCGAGCGAGCAAAUGCCCAUGACCCCCGUGGAUAGCACCGCAGUGGGUGCACUCUACACUGCGCUGCCGCACUGCUCCCGCUGCCGCCGCCUCGUCUCCCCUCCUUUCUCCAGUUUUUCCUCCCUCCAUCUUCCCGUCUCCUUCCUGACAGGAGCCAGAUGCCAUGAAUUCUCUUAGGAAGUCGCGCUCCGGCCUUAAUCGUCGUCACCGGCGACCCCCAUCCUCACCGCCCGCCUCCGAAUCCUUCCCAGCCCCUGCCGUGCAUGGAUCCGUUCGCUGCAAGCUCCAGCCGUCGCGCCGCCGCCGUUCUGCAGAUCGCGGGUUGAAUAGAUGAAAACACAGGGUCCUGUUUGUAAAUUCGAAACAUUUUUCUGACUGAGUAAAGCGUGUACUGCGGGUUAAUUUCUAAAAAAUGGGGGGACUUUUCUGCAAAA